rnacentral:rRNA from 1 species
AGUGAACGCUGGCGGUAGGCCUAACACAUGCAAGUCGAACGGCAGCACAGUAAGAGCUUGCUCUUACGGGUGGCGAGUGGCGGACGGGUGAGGAAUACAUCGGAAUCUACUUUUUCGUGGGGGAUAACGUAGGGAAACUUACGCUAAUACCGCAUACGACCUACGGGUGAAAGCAGGGGAUCUUCGGACCUUGCGCGAUUGAAUGAGCCGAUGUCGGAUUAGCUAGUUGGCGGGGUAAAGGCCAACCAAGGCGACGAUCCGUAGCUGGUUUGAGAGGAUGAUCAGCCACACUGGAACUGAGACACGGUCCAGACUCCUACGGGAGGCAGCAGUGGGGAAUAUUGGACAAUGGGCGCAAGCCUGAUCCAGCCAUACCGCGUGGGUGAAGAAGGCCUUCGGGUUGUAAAGCCCUUUUGUUGGGAAAGAAAAGCAGCAGGUUAAUACCCCGCUGUUCUGACGGUACCCAAAGAAUAAGCACCGGCUAACUUCGUG